GAUGAACGCUAGCUACAUGCUUAACACAUGCAAGUCGAGGGGCAUCAGGAAGAAAGCUUGCUUUCUUUGCUGGCGACCGGCGCACGGGUGAGUAACACGUAUCCAACCUGCCCUUUACUCGGGGAUAGCCUUUCGAAAGAAAGAUUAAUACCCGAUGGCAUAAUGAUUCCGCAUGGUUUCAUUAUUAAAGGAUUCCGGUAAAGGAUGGGGAUGCGUUCCAUUAGGUUGAUGGUGAGGUAACGGCUCACCAAGCCUUCGAUGGAUAGGGGUUCUGAGAGGAAGGUCCCCCACAUUGGAACUGAGACACGGUCCAAACUCCUACGGGAGGCAGCAGUGAGGAAUAUUGGUCAAUGGGCGGUAGCCUGAACCAGCCAAGUAGCGUGAAGGAUGAAGGCUCUAUGGGUCGUAAACUUCUUUUAUAUAAGAAUAAAGUGCAGUAUGUAUACUGUUUUGUAUGUAUUAUAUGAAUAAGGAUCGGCUAACUCCGUGCCAGCAGCCGCGGUAAUACGGAGGAUCCGAGCGUUAUCCGGAUUUAUUGGGUUUAAAGGGAGCGUAGGUGGACUGGUAAGUCAGUUGUGAAAGUUUGCGGCUCAACCGUAAAAUUGCAGUUGAUACUGUCAGUCUUGAGUACAGUAGAGGUGGGCGGAAUUCGUGGUGUAGCGGUGAAAUGCUUAGAUAUCACGAAGAACUCCGAUUGCGAAGGCAGCUCACUGGACUGCAACUGACACUGAUGCUCGAAAGUGUGGGUAUCANACAGG
rnacentral:rRNA from 1 species